rnacentral:rRNA from 1 species
GGACCUCAGAUCAGGCAAGAUUACCCGCUGAGUUUAAGCAUAUCACUAAGCGGAGGAAAAGAAACUAACUAGGAUUUCC